AUGGGUACCUAUGCUUGCAACUCUAUCUUCAGCUCGCCACCAUUUCCCCUUGUCUCUGUCCCGCAAACAUCUCCAAAAGGACGAGGGACUUUGACACACCAGAAAGCAAACCAGCGUUUGACUGAAGAAGUUCUGGACGUGAAUAGCUCUCCAAAGAUUUUGACGGCAGGUGGCAGGGAUACAUCUUUGCAGUUUGGCAGCACAGCGAUGCAGCGAGUCACGCUGCCGCCUCACAGCCCCUGGGUGGUGCAAGAAAAAAUGGGGUUUGUCCAGCUGCUCUGGAUUCCCUCCACAGUCCAAAGACAUGCAGUUCAGGUGAACUGGUGUCUCUAAAUUCCCUUUAGGGUCUGUGUGUAUGUGUGGCUACCCUACGAUGGACUGAUGUCCCGCUCCGAGUGUACCCCCCUCAGCCUUGCGUCCAGUGCUUCUGGGAUAGGCUUCGGAUCACCGCGACCCUGCCCAGGACAAAGCGGUUCUGAAAUUGGAUGGAUGGAUCUUUGUGGUUAUGACUUAAUUCUGGCACGUCUCAGGGAUUGCAUGGGUUAAGUGUACGACUUCUUACCGUGCAAAAGUAAAUGCAGCUCUCCAUUAAGGUUCAGUUUGUCUGGGGUGGAAAACACAAAAUUGCCAAAUUUUUAUUUGUGAAGACAUACUGUGUUGACCCUUGUUAAAAUAAGAAAUGCUGAUGUAAAUUGCACAUUAAAAGUAACUUACCACGGGACAGCAGGUAGUGUGGUGGUUAGAGCUGCUGCCUUUGGACCCACAGGUUCAGAUCUCACCUCUGACUAUGACACUCAUGAAUAAAGUGCUCUGAUAAAAUUCCCCA
rnacentral:lncRNA from 1 species